rnacentral:rRNA from 1 species
UACGGGGGGGGCAAGCGUUGUUCGGAAUUACUGGGCGUAAAGAGCUCGUAGGCGGUUCGUCGCGUCGGCUGUGAAAACCCGGAGCUCAACUCCGGGCCUGCAGUCGAUACGGGCGGACUUGAGUGUUGCAGGGGAGACUGGAAUUCCUGGUGUAGCGGUGAAAUGCGCAGAUAUCAGGAGGAACACCGGUGGCGAAGGCGGGUCUCUGGGCAACUACUGACGCUGAGGAGCGAAGGCGUGGGGAGCGAACAGG